rnacentral:rRNA from 1 species
CGUGACUCCAAUUGAACCGCAGGCUUCCCCCUUGUGGUGCUCCCCCGCCAAUUCCUUUAAUUUCAUACUUGCGUACGUGCUUCCCAGGCGGCAGACGUAACGGCUUCCCUGCGGCACUGCAUUGGCCACAAGCCAAUGCAUCACCGAGUCUGCAUCGUUUACAGCUGGGACUACCCGGGUAUCUAAUCCGGUUUGCUCCCCCAGCUUUCAUCCCUCACCGUCGAACGUGUUCUGGUACACCGCCUUCGCCACAGGUGGUCUUCAAUAGAUCAAAGGAUUUUACCCNCUUCCUAUCGGGUACCGUGUACCUCUCCCACUCCCUAGCUGCACAGUAUUUUCGGCGGCCUAUACGUUAAGCGCAUAGAUUUAACCGAAAACUUAUGCAACCGGCUACGGAUGCUUUAGGCCCAAUAAACCUCCUGACCACUCGAGGUGCUGGUUUUACCGCGGCGGCUGACACCAGAACUUGCCCACCCCUUAUUCACCAGUGAUUCUACAACUGACAAAAGACUCCUUUAGCAGGAGACACUCGGAUUAACCUUGUCGUGCUUUCGCACAUUGCAAAGGUUUCUCGCCUGCUGCGCCCCAUAGGGCCUGGGUCCGUGUCUCAGUACCCAUCUUCGGUGCCCUCCUCUCAAAGCCCGUACCUGUAUAGCCUGGUUGGGCAUUACUCACCAAAAAGUGAUAGGCGGAGCUAUCCUACGGAAAAACUUCACCAGGCCUCCGGCCGGGCCCCUGGUUUUCCGCUCCGGGUUCCCCC